rnacentral:rRNA from 1 species
UACAGAGGGUGCAAACGUUGUUCGGAAUUACUGGGCGUAAAGCGUGUGUAGGCGGCCUCGUAGGUCGGAUGUGAAAGCUCUCGGCUCAACCGGGAAAGUGCAUUCGAAACCACAAGGCUUGAGUGUCGGAGAGGAGGGCGGAAUUGUCGGUGUAGAGGUGAAAUUCGUAGAUAUCGACAGGAACACCUGCGGCGAAAGCGGCCCUCUGGACCGAACACGUGA